rnacentral:rRNA from 1 species
UUAGAGUUUGAUCCUGGCUCAGGAUGAACGCUAGCGGCAGGCUUAACACAUGCAAGUCGAGGGGCAGCGAGAUCAGUGCUUGCACUGAUUGUCGGCGACCGGCGCACGGGUGCGUAACGCGUAUGCAACCUACCCAUUACAGGGGGAUAACACUGAGAAAUCGGUACUAAUACCCCAUAACAUCCAGGGAGGCAUCUUCUUGGGUUGAAAACUCCGGUGGUAAUGGAUGGGCAUGCGUUGUAUUAGUUAGUUGGUGGGGUAACGGCUCACCAAGACAACGAUACAUAGGGGGACUGAGAGGUUAACCCCCCACAUUGGUACUGAGACACGGACCAAACUCCUACGGGAGGCAGCAGUGAGGAAUAUUGGUCAAUGGACGCAAGUCUGAACCAGCCAUGCCGCGUGCAGGAAGACGGCUCUAUGAGUUGUAAACUGCUUUUGUACGAGGGUAAACGCAGAUACGCGUAUCUGUCUGAAAGUAUCGUACGAAUAAGGAUCGGCUAACUCCGUGCCAGCAGCCGCGGUAAUACGGAGGAUUCAAGCGUUAUCCGGAUUUAUUGGGUUUAAAGGGUGCGUAGGCGGUCGGAUAAGUUAGAGGUGAAAUCCCGGGGCUCAACUUCGGAAUUGCCUCUGAUACUGUUCGGCUAGAGAGUAGUUGCGGUAGGCGGAAUGUAUGGUGUAGCGGUGAAAUGCUUAGAGAUCAUACAGAACACCGAUUGCGAAGGCAGCUUACCAAGCUACUUCUGACGUUGAGGCACGAAAGCGUGGGGAGCAAACAGGAUUAGAUACCCUGGUAGUCCACGCAGUAAACGAUGAUAACUCGUUGUCGGCGAUACAGUGUCGGUGACUAAGCGAAAGCGAUAAGUUAUCCACCUGGGGAGUACGUUCGCAAGAAUGAAACUCAAAGGAAUUGACGGGGGCCCGCACAAGCGGAGGAACAUGUGGUUUAAUUCGAUGAUACGCGAGGAACCUUACCCGGGCUUGAAAGUUAGUGACGGAUCUUGAAAGAGGUCUUCCCUUCGGGGCACGAAACUAGGUGCUGCAUGGUUGUCGUCAGCUCGUGCCGUGAGGUGUCGGGUUAAGUCCCAUAACGAGCGCAACCCCUACCGUUAGUUGCCAGCAGGUCAAGCUGGGCACUCUGACGGGACUGCCGGUGUAAGCCGAGAGGAAGGUGGGGAUGACGUCAAAUCAGCACGGCCCUUACGUCCGGGGCUACACACGUGUUACAAUGGCAGGUACAGAGGGCAGCUACCCAGCGAUGGGAUGCGAAUCUCGAAAGCCUGUCUCAGUUCGGAUUGGAGGCUGAAACCCGCCUCCAUGAAGUUGGAUUCGCUAGUAAUCGCGCAUCAGCCAUGGCGCGGUGAAUACGUUCCCGGGCCUUGCACUCAAAGCCCGUCA